rnacentral:lncRNA from 1 species
GUUUACCUAGAAAGCACUGGAAGUGGGUUAUAAAAGCCAGUUUGACCUUAAAGCCAAAGCUUAAGUGUUGUUUUUUUUUUUUAUCCUUGCCUUUAUAAACCUCUAAAACAUCUCAUUACCUGAAGUUAUUUUAAAUGCAAAGUAUAACAAAUACAUGGUUGUUUUUAGGAUAAAACCAAUAUCUGUAUAUAAUAAUCUGCUUUUAUAAUACUACUUUCUAACCUCUUGGAUCACAUCCCGUGCUAUGCAGAAAAAUUCAUUUCCAUCGGAAGAGACUUUGCUGAGCACGUGAGUCUGACAGUGCUUGCUUCCUGACUGCUGGGCAAUUACAUCAAGAGGUGACCUUUAUGACCCAAAGAUUUAUCAAGUCAGCAAUCUGUUCCCUGGGGCCAGCAUCUUCAGCAUCUUCCUCUGCCAGUCACGUCUGUGGAAGACUUUGCCAAACCCCAUGAGAAAAUGGACUAAUCUACUUGUUUCAAAGAACAAGAAUGACAUCUUUACCGGCUGUACUUUGUCUAUAGAGGAAAGAAGCUAAUAAAGGAUGAAAUACUUUAUCCAAUUGUGAAAGAUCCAAUGCAAUGUUUUUAUAAUAAAGGACACAGAGAGUAGCAGUUAGUAAGCAGCUAGUCUGAGAAGAUAAGGCUUCAUUACUAGGAACAAAGGGGAGAAACUUAUUCCGAAGAACUCCGUGAGACAAAUAUAUUUUAAAG